rnacentral:rRNA from 1 species
AUUGAACGCUGGCGGCAGGCUUAACACAUGCAAGUCGAGCGGAGAGAGGUAGCUUGCUACUGAUCUUAGCGGCGGACGGGUGAGUAAUGCUUAGGAAUCUGCCUAUUAGUGGGGGACAACAUUUCGAAAGGAAUGCUAAUACCGCAUACGUCCUACGGGAGAAAGCAGGGGAUCUUCGGACCUUGCGCUAAUAGAUGAGCCUAAGUCGGAUUAGCUAGUUGGUGGGGUAAAGGCCUACCAAGGCGACGAUCUGUAGCGGGUCUGAGAGGAUGAUCCGCCACACUGGGAAGGAGACACGGCCCAGACUCCUACGGGAGGCAGCAGUGGGGAAUAUUGGACAAUGGGCGCAAGCCUGAUCCAGCCAUGCCGCGUGUGUGAGGAAGGCCUUAUGGUUGUAAAGCACUUUAAGCGAGGAGGAGGCUACUUUAGUUAAUACCUAGAGAUAGUGGACGUUACUCGCAGAAUAAGCACCGGCUAACUCUGUGCCAGCCGCCGCGGUAACAC